rnacentral:rRNA from 1 species
GAUGAACGCUGGCGGCGUGCCUAAUACAUGCAAGUCGAGCGAACAGACGAGGAGCUUGCUCCUCUGACGUUAGCGGCGGACGGGUGAGUAACACGUGGAUAACCUACCUAUAAGACUGGGAUAACUUCGGGAAACCGGAGCUAAUACCGGAUAAUAUAUUGAAUCGCAUGGUUCAAUAGUGAAAGACGGUUUUGCUGUCACUUAUAGAUGGAUCCGCGCCGCAUUAGCUAGUUGGUAAGGUAACGGCUUACCGAGGCAACGAUGCGUAGCCGACCUGAGAGGGUGAUCGGCCACACUGGAACUGAGACACGGUCCAGACUCCUACGGGAGGCAGCAGUAGGGAAUCUUCCGCAAUGGGCGAAAGCCUGACGGAGCAACGCCGCGUGAGUGAUGAAGGUCUUCGGAUCGUAAAACUCUGUUAUUAGGGAAGAACAAAUGUGUAAGUAACUAUGCACGUCUUGACGGUACCUAAUCAGAAAGCCAUGGCUAACUACGUG